rnacentral:rRNA from 1 species
UGGGGAAUAUUGCACAAUGGGCGAAAGCCUGAUGCAGCGACGCCGCGUGCGGGAUGAAGGCCUUCGGGUUGUAAACCGCUUUUAAUUGGGAGCAAGCGAGAGUGAGUGUACCUUUUGAAUAAGCACCGGCUAACUACGUGCCAGCAGCCGCGGUAAUACGUAGGGUGCAAGCGUUAUCCGGAAUUAUUGGGCGUAAAGAGCUCGUAGGCGGUUUGUCACGCCUGGUGUGAAAGUCCAUCGCUUAACGGUGGAUCUGCGCCGGGUACGGGCAGGCUAGAGUGCAGUAGGGGAGAUUGGAAUUCCCGGUGUAACGGUGGAAUGUGUAGAUAUCGGGAAGAACACCAAUGGCGAAGGCAGAUCUCUGGGCUGUUACUGACGCUGAGGAGCGAAAGCAUGGGGAGCGAACAGGAUUAGAUACCCUGGUAGUCCAUGCCGUAAACGGUGGAUGCUGGAUGUGGGACCCUUCCAC